UCCGGUAUGGUGUAGUGGCUAACAUUUCGCGCUCUCAUCACCAAGUUGAGAGAUCACCUUGAACCGCGGAGCCCAGGGUUCGAUUCCCUGUACCGGAG
rfam:Nectria haematococca mpVI 77-13-4 chromosome 10 genomic scaffold NECHAsca_14_chr10_3_0, whole genome shotgun sequence.